rnacentral:rRNA from 1 species
CCUACGGUGGGCAGCAGUGAGGAAUAUUGGUCAAUGGCCGGGAGGCUGAACCAGCCAAGUCGCGUGAGGGAAGACGGCCCUACGGGUUGUAAACCUCUUUUGUCAGGGAGCAAGGUGCAGGUCGGGACCUGCUGUGAGAGUACCUGAAGAAAAAGCAUCGGCUAACUCCGUGCCAGCAGCCGCGGUAAUACGGAGGAUGCGAGCGUUAUCCGGAUUUAUUGGGUUUAAAGGGUGCGCAGGCGGAGGCACAAGUCAGCGGUAAAAUCGCGGGGCUCAACCCCGCUCCGCCGUUGAAACUGUGUCCGUUGAGUGCGCGAAGGGUAGGCGGAAUGCGUGGUGUAGCGGUGAAAUGCAUAGAUAUUAGGAGGAACACCAGUGGCGAAGGCGGCCUGCUGGACUGUAACUGACGUUGAGGCUCGAAAGCGUGGGGAGCAAACAGGAUUAGAUACCCUUGUAGUC